rnacentral:tRNA from 1 species
CCUGGUGGCUUAGAGGUUAAAGUGUCUGUCUGCAAUGCGGGAGACCUGGGUUCGAUCCCUGGGUCAGGA